GAGGGAGUGGCAGACGGGUGAGUAACACGUGGGAACGUACCCUUCGGUUCGGAAUAACUCAGGGAAACUUGUGCUAAUACCGAAUACGUCCGAGAGGAGAAAGAUUUAUCGCCGAAGGAUCGGCCCGCGUCUGAUUAGCUUGUUGGUGGGGUAAAGGCUCACCAAGCCGACGAUCUAUAGCUGGUCUGAGAGGACGACCAGCCACACUGGAACUGAGACACGGUCCAGACUCC
rnacentral:rRNA from 1 species